rnacentral:lncRNA from 1 species
GGACAACUGUAUUUUGUUCAAUACAUGAACGUUCAUACAAAUCAUAUGGUUGAUGACAAUGUAGUUUCAAAAUAUUAAAAAACUUAUAUUAAAAAUUCGGAACGAGCGUGAGGUGUAUAGCAAAAACAAAAAAAAAAACAUUAAUCUAACAAACGAUUUUUUUAUUUGGCACAGUGAAGGUAUGACGUUGUAGGUUUGAUGACAUCAACGGUUGUCGCAACCUUGUAUUCUAUAAACAAUAUUCUCAAACAGAAUUUAUUAAAUAUGUUUAUUAAGUAAAGAAGUCAGUAUUUUGACUAAAGCGAUUAUAUUUGUUCUUUCCACGUGGCAUAAGUGGCAUGCGCGAAGACGAUAAGCUCAAAUACAAUCAGGGGCAAUAAAGUUCGAUUCCAGUAAUCGAUUUACGCAUCGGGACCUUAGCAGAUGUCAAUUUAAUAAACUUUAAUAUCAUAUUUUACUUUUGAGAUAAUUAAAUUAUUUAUUUACAAAUAUGUUCAUAUGUGUAUUAAACCUUUAUUAAUGUAUAUGUAUAUAAAUAUGUCAAGCGCAGAUACGUUCAUAAACACAGGCGCACAAUAAAACGAAGAGACAAGAGGCGCGUGCCAUAGUUAUUUAAGCGAUAUUUUAUAAUUGGAUUAUUUAUUAAACUUUUUAAAUGUGUAUAAUUAUAUUGUUACGUAAAUGAGCCCCAAUGUGAAUGUGUUUUUAAAUAUAACUGAAGCGAGAACAAUUGUUUACUUACGUUAUAGAAUAAUUGACAAACAUACUUAUCUAUUUUAUACGCUUAUAUACAUAUUUCCUUUCUCUGGUUUGCCUACUUGGAAGCAGAGAACGUAUAAUAAUUGUCUGUCUGUGUCUAUAAUGUUUAUACAUAGCAGGAAUAAAAUACAUAGUAUGGAACAAAGUAAUAUAAUUUUAAAUGUGAAUGCAAUGUUUCGACAUUACUACCAAAUAUUCACAAAUGAGUUAUCUUAUACUUAAAGCUAAGGAACAAGAAGAAAUUUGAAAUGUGUGGUUAUUAAAUAGUAUUUAUAGUGUACGUAUAUUAGAUUAAAUAUGUACAUAUGUAUAUUACUUUAAAAUUCAAACAACAUUGUAUCUACAUUACUACCAAAUGCUCACAAAUGAAAUGUCGCUUAUAUAUACAACGAUUAUCAUUCCAUUUUCCCACUUCACGGAAUCCCAUUUCAACGCAAAAUUCAUCGCCUCGCCAAUUAUCGGGCAUGUUUGGUAGCCAAUUAGUAUAAUUGAACUGUUCACCAGUGCUGUACCAAAUAAAUUCUUUACGAUUUUGAUCAUAUUUGCCAGAAGUCCAAUAGAUGUAAUCAUUGCCAAUAUUUGGUUUAUCAACAAAGUCUAAAUUUAAGAACAUAAAUGCUUUACAUAUCUAUAUAUAAGAAACAUACGCAAUAUAAACUUGCUUAUUUCAGUAAGGAAUUGGCUUAGUUUUUCAGUACGUUCUUCCGUAUUGGGAGUAAAGAGUGUCAUAUUCAUGUCGGCGCAGUAUUGUAAUGCAUUGUCCCAAGGUAACUAGAUUUAUGUGAAUAUGUUAAUAUGUAACUAUAUGUAAUAUAUAUAAAUAUGUACAUAAGUUUUGGUAUGGAUAUGAAUAAUACUAAAUAUAUUUGGUUACCUUUAAUUGGUCCACAAUUAAAAAACGAUAUAAGCCCAAAACAACGGAUGUCUCUGCUACAAAUAACAAAUAGCGUAUAUGUUUACAUGUAAAUUAAAAUUAAGACAAGCCUGACGCGAUCUACAUAUACCUUUGUCAUAUGCUGCAAUAAUUGCAUGUAAUGAGAAUAAAAGACUUGAUUUUAAAAACA